AUGGAAGAGACAAAAUCACCCAAGAAGCCUUUGGAAGAGUGCCAGGACUCCGUUCAAGUGAAGAAAACAGCUGCCUGCUGAAAGCGCAGGUGCUCCUAUUCAGGAAACGUUGGCACUUGUUUCUGCCUUCACCACAGCCUUGUAUGGAUGUUGCUAAAUAAUUGGUUCAAUGAUCUUCCAGCUUCUUCCCAUUAAAAUGAGUUCCUCUGCGGCAAAGACAUGACAGCGGGCAAGGGAAGAAGGAGGCAGAGGGACAAGAGAAGGGAGCAAUGGGCCAUCU